GGGCUGUCAGUAAAGAGGUUUAUUCUUUCAUUUGGAUAUUAACAGGUUGGUACCAGGCCUAUCAAGAUUUGCCACCUGGAGCUCAUCAGAGAAGCAGCUGUUGUAAUCCAGGAGGAGAAGGAAGUGAAAUUUAUGCCAAGAGCAGAAUACACCUGGUCUCCUUCCGAACAGGCUGCCAGAACAGCACGUUAAACACCCCAUUUUCCUUCAUGGCCAUUGACUAGACACAGGUAACUCUUUGCAAAGCAUCUAAAGACGGGCUAAGCAGCUCAGAUGCUUUCAAGAUAACACUCUGGGAUCGCUUUGGGGGCAUUGAAAAGAUAAUUCUGAGGGCUGUAAAGGGAUCUUUUGAGAAUGUCUUUUAAUAAUGUAAGAAUGGGAGGUAGGGUUUCCAUUGAAUGACAGAUGGGAUGAAUCGAACAGAGGAACAAUGGCGCUAUUGACACACGGUUGCUACUUGAUAACCCUUUGAGCCUCUCCUGGGUUUUCCCUUGACCUGGUACAGGGUAUGCCCCAGAUGGGGAUGCUCUCCUCUUGGGGCACGCUGAGUGGGAGAGUUUGAAGAGAGAUUCAUUAGAGAGUGACUGAAUUACAUACUUUUCCAAAAUCCAUCAAAAAGUUAAGAGCUCAGGAGCGCAAACAGCUUGACCAACUUCCUAUUCAAGAGUGCUGGAAAACUUAGCUUCAAAAAAUGUUGAACUAUCACCCAGAGAGCAGAGGGUAACAAUAACACCCAGAAAACACAUUUAGGUGACAAAUUAUGUCUUUUUCUCAUACCCCUUGUCCUAUAAAUUUAGCAAUACUGUAAGGUUCCCCCACAAUGAAGUCAGUUGCCUUUUCAUUCUCCAGAUAUAUACUUUUGGAGGCUCAGUUGCUAGGUACAAAUUAGGAGCAGACUAGCCAAUGGAGACCAACUGAAGAGUAUAGAUGAGGUUUCUAUCAGAGGUGGGGAACCUCAGGACCAAGGGGCAAAUGCAAGCUUCCUGGCCUUCCUGUCUGCUCCUUUGAACUCUCCCUGGGACACAACCCCUAGCCAGUCUUGCUCAGCACCCUCUUCAGGGUAGAAACCUCUGACUGAAAUGCAACCUACCCUACAAAAAGAAGAGUUACACCUGUUGCUCCAUCCACUUUUGCCUCGGGGCCCCACCCACCAUGGCAGGUGACCUCCAGCAGGUUACCAACAAGGGAAUGCAGAUCUCAAGCUGGAAAAUGUCAUGUGCUCCCCACGCUCAAUUAUAUGGUUAUAGUUCUUUGGCUGAAUGUUUGAAACAUGAUGUCUGCAUUUGGUCUUCUCUCCUCUGAUUCUUCAUUGAGAAAGUAAAGAUGCUUCACCUAGUUUCCUCAGCUGUAGUCUGUGUAAACUAAUAGCUGGGAAACGGUUCUAGCAUUUCUAAUUUCUUGUUGGCUAAAUCUGCUCUUUGUUAUCUGGAUUAUCCUAAGCAGGUGGAACAAAACCACAUGACUAUUUAAUUGGGAGUUUGAUUUCUAUCUAAAAGGAAGAUAUUUUAAUUUGGGGGAGGGGGUUCCCAUUGAGAGGGGGUUAAAAUAACUAGCCCUUCCCGUGUAGACAUGAGAACAGAACAAGAAAUAUAGAUUAGAUGCCAUUUUCUAUUUCAGCAAUUUUUAUACCGACAGACAGACAGACAGACAGACAGACAGACAGACAGACAGAAGUGGUGUACAGCAAACUAGAAAAACAGAAAAAUGUUACAAAAACACGCAAUAAAACCAAUAAUACAAACCAAUAAUAAAUAAACACAGAUACAAAUGCCUUCUUCUGACACAAUUCACCACUCAGCAUGUCUCAGCCUCCACCCAUCUACCAUGGCUCUUACCCAAGGUCCAAACAAACUCACAGAUCAACCCCCAAAUCUCACAACAAAUAGGGUUCCUUGAACCUGCUGGCUGACAUCACCCUAGUCUCUCACUCUAGGGUUUCUGGGCAGGCACCCAGGUCUGAUAGAACUAACUCAGGCUGCCCACUGCUGUGUUCCAUUCAGCAUUCAAAUCAGCGGCACUGUACACACCCAUUUUCAGACAACAAUAGGUUUGGUUAGUUUUCGGGGAGUCCCAAGGAUGGCAUACCUGUGAUCCGUUUCACUGCAUUAGUGAUUAUUACUGCAGGAGUGUACACCUUAGAAGUGACACAAUCCUGUGACAUGUCCUUGUUGCUCAGAUUGGUGUGCUUUUGAAACACACUUGGAUACUUGAACCAAACUGCUGUAUGGAGAAAAAAGGGGCAUUGCUUUGUGUGUGUUUGUUUCCAUUCCCAUCUCUUUUGGGGGGGGCUAGCUGCUCUUCAACCAUGUUAGGCGCAUUAAUCUGAGAAUAAAUACACUCCGGCACAUGUACACACACUUGAACAGUUUGUGAACUGCACAGUCCCUCACGCUUGAAGUGGAAUGUAAAAUUGCAUUAAUGACUUGAACCUGGGAAUUGUGAGUAUUCUGAAAACUACUUGUUAGGCAGCUGUGAGGGCCUUUAUGUACCAUGUAACCUUUUCUCCCUCUAAAAUGCUAUUAUUAUGUUAGCACAGCUCUUAAAAACAGCUCCUUGCAGCUGACAUGCACUGUCCAUUUUUAACAGAAUAAAACAUGUUGCUCUAUCUUUGACUGUGCACUUAUGGCGAAAUUAUGAGCUCUUAUGGCUUAUUCCACAUGGCUUUUAUGCUGCUCUCCAGAAACCACUUUUGGCCUGUGAAAACAUCCCCUCUCUCCAAUUCAUAAUCUCUUAGAUGAACAUCUAACUACAUUAACUCCUAAAGAAUACGGCUAUAAAAUCACCACAUUACUCUGGCUUUUAGCUAGCUCGUCCAUCACUAUCGUUUUUUGCUACAUCUCUCAAGAAACAAUCCAGCAGCUUGAAAUUUUGAUUUUCAAAACAUGGUCUCCCUUUAAAAAAAAAAAAAAUGCUCCCGUUUUGUGACACUCUGUACACAAUGCGGCUCAAAAAUAAGUAUAAUCAAAAGUAAUAUGUGAGCACCUUAGAAAAUAUUACCAAUAUUUACAGACAUGUAUUGUGUGAUAUCCAACACCUUGAUCAGCAAUUAGUCUUGCCAAUUGGUUACUUUGACAAAAAAAAGUGGGAGGGGUGGGCUUCACUGUGAAACUGCCCUGCUGCAAAGUAUUACUGUUGCAGAUUUAACUCAUCCACACCUCCUUUUUCACUCUGGGACUGUUAAAUGGAGGAGGGGCCAGAAGGCAUGACUUGGGGUGCUGAUUUGGUCCAUGGUCUGCUGGUUACUGACCCCUACCUCAAUUUUAUGUGAAUAGAAAAAUAAACCAAACCCUUAUUGAUAGGAACCUGAAGAGCUAUCUCAUACCAGGUCAAACUCUUUGGCACCUACUCUGAUUGUCUAACCAACAUGGCACCCUUCAGGUGUUGAUGGACUCCCAUCGUCCCUAACCAUUGACCAUGCUGGCUGGAGUUGAUGGGUGUUAGGAGUCCAACAACAUCUAGAGGACACCAUUUUGGCUACCCCGGGUCUACUCUGAUUGGCAUAGCCAUCCAGGGCCCAAGGCAGAGGCAGAGGUAUUUCCCAUCAAAGGUUCCCUCAUCCUUUUAACUAGACUUUCUGCAUGCAGAAUAUGCUUUGCCACCGAGUCAAGGUCCCUUCCCAAAACUUCCCUUCCAUUUCUCCUUUAUAGACACAAUAGCAACUGUUUGUAGCCACUUCAGUGCAUAUUCAUUUUCCUUUGCUCCAGUAAAGCUUGUAUUGUAUGUUCAUGUUUAGGGAAAGGUCAAAUAUUUUCGUGGCUGCCUACACAGUACUAGUGCCGCUUAAUACAUUUAUCUGUGCCCCCACACUACACUAUAUUAGACACAUAAUGCAAUCCAGCAGGAGGGUUGCACUCUACUGAGACACAGAGCAGAAAAUCAGUAGUCAGUAACUGAGUGCCAAACCACACGUGAUGGAGAAAAUCAUAUGAAAAGCCCCAGCAGUCUCAAGUUGCAUCCAGGUCUUCAUCAGAAAAAAUGAGAAUCCAAAAACAUGCAAGUCUGAAAUGGUUCAGUAGCCUGCAUUUCCAAGUUCCCUUCAAAGGUCAAGUAACUGAAUACUUUCAGGCUUGCUUGCUUUGGGAUCCAAAUCUUUCUCUGAUUACAAGAUGGGUGCAGCUUGAAGUGGUCUGGGUAUUUCUGUAUCGUUCUCUGAAACUGUGCUACUGAAUGUUGAUGUUAGAAUAAUAAUAAUAAUAAUAGAUUUUAUUUAUACCCCACCCUCCCAGCCAAGACCGGGCUCAGGGCGGCUAACACCCGAUAUAAAAACAAAUUGAUUGAAAUACAACUUAAAAACAAGAUUAAAAUACAACAUUAAAACAUUAAAAUACAGCCUCAUUUCAAUGAAAACUCAUAUCAAAAACUUUAUACUAGGCUGAAGGCCAAAUCUACAAGUUACAUGCAUUGUUUCCCUCCAUCACCACAGUGGUGAGUAAUGUGUGUGUGUGUGUGCGUGCGCGCGCGUGUGUGUCUAGAGCAGCCUUUCCCAACCCUGGGUUCCUAGAUGUGGUUGGACUACAAGUCCCAUCAUCCCUGACCACUGGUCCUGCUAGCUAGGGAUGAUGGGAUUUGUAACCCAACAAUAUAUGGGACCCGGGGUUGAGAAAGGCUGGUCUAGAGCAUGACUAACUAGCCUGUGACCCUUCAGUUGUCAGACUCCAACUGUCAUCAACCCUCACAGUGCUGGAUUACCUAAUAGGCAAUCUCAACACAUCAUUAGGGCACCAGCAAAGCAGGGUCACAAAAAAGAGAAGUCUUUUUCUUUUAAGAAUUUGACAUUCACUAUUUAAAAAACAUUUUUCAUGGGGAAAAUCAGGCCUUUGUUAGACUUCAUUACACACUCUUCCCCCAUUUUUCUGUUCUUUCUAUUACUUUUACUCACCUAAACUAAGGGGCAUCCAACUAAUGCAGAUCAAAGUGAUGAAAGAAAAUAAGAUCCUGUCAGGUGUUGCAAUAAAUCUAUGUUUUAGUUUUAUUUUACAUUUUUUUUAUUUAGUAUUGUUUUUAUUUUGAAUUACAUGGGGGGGGCACCACAACCUUUUCUAUGCUUAGGGCCUCUAAAGGUCUGGAUCUGGUCCUGAUCCCUGAUCACUGACUCUGGCCGGAAGCUAUGAGGGUUGUAAUCCAGCAUUAAUGCUGAACCUGUCAAGUGAAAUGCUGCAGCUUAUACUAGAUAUGUGGCACACACUAGAAAAGUUUAGAGGUACAUCCUGAGCUUAAAACAUGGGAAUUGGACCUAAAAUAACAUGUCUGUCAACAGCAGCACACAAACUUUCCCAGGCAGAGUUAAUGACUUGUGUGUUUGUUGAUGGAUGAUUUGGGCCAAAGUUUAUGGGCAACUGGAUUUUAAAACAGAGCCAAUUUUUUUGUACUAAUUUACUUAAAACUGGGUAUUUCAAAUGGCAUUACAUUCCACUGUAAACAUUCCCACACAGUGGCCUCAAUGGUCUUUAAUCGGCUUUGUAACUGGAGAGGUACAAGUUCUUUGAAGCCAACUACUGUCAGCCUUCCAUCUUUUAUCAGUAGUAAUUACCCAUUUACUAUAGUUCAAACUUCUCUUUUGAUAACAUUGAAACAGUUAUUUACAAAGAAGAUUUAGGGUUAAAUAAUUGUUAGACAUGCACAUGUAGAAUUUUGUGUGUGCGUGCUGGGCAGAGAAAGAAUGUAUUGAAUGCUCUUUCCUGCAGCCAAAAUCCUUAGCAGAGCUCAGUCUGCCCUUUCCUGUCUUCCUUCUAGCUCUAAGCAGGCCUGAGGCUCCCCACUGGUUCCCCACCCCUGUCUGCCUGCCUAAUAUAAGAAUGUAAGUAAAGC
rnacentral:lncRNA from 1 species